GACUCUGGUGGUGGCACUUCUGACGUUGUCAGGACGGGGUUCGAGUCCCUGCGGUGUC
ensembl:sRNA